CCCUUAGAUGUUCUGGGCCGCACGCGCGCUACACUGACGAAUGCAACGAGCUUAUAACCUUGGCCGAAAGGUCUGGGUAAUCUCCAAAUUUCGUCGUGAUGGGGAUAGAUUAUUGCAAUUAUUAAUCUUCAACGAGGAAUGCCUAGUAAGCGCAAGUCAUCAGCUUGCGUUGAUUACGUCCCUGCCCUUUGUACACACCGCCCGUCGCUCCUACCGAUUGAAUGGUCCGGUGAAGCGUUCGGACCGUGGCCUUUGGACGGUUCGCCGUCUGUUGGCUGCGGGAAGUUCGUUAAACCUUAUCAUUUAGAGGAAGGAGAAGUCGUAACG
rnacentral:rRNA from 1 species